rnacentral:rRNA from 1 species
AGAGCGAACGCUGGCGGCAGGCCUAACACAUGCAAGUCGAACGGACUCUUCGGAGUUAGUGGCGGACGGGUGAGUAACACGUGGGAACGUGCCUUUAGGUUCGGAAUAGCUCCUGGAAACGGGUGGUAAUGCCGAAUGUGCCCUUCGGGGGGAAAGAUUUAUCGCCUUUAGAGCGGCCCGCGUCUGAUUAGCUAGUUGGUGAGGUAAAGGCUCACCAAGGCUACGAUCAGUAGCUGGUCUGAGAGGAUGACCAGCCACAUUGGGACUGAGACACGGCCCAAACUCCUACGGGAGCAGCAGUGGGAAUCUUGCGCAAUGGGCGAAAGCCUGACGCAGCCAUGCCGCGUGAAUGAUGAAGGUCUUAGGAUUGUAAAAUUCUUCAGUAGGACGAUAAUGACGUACUACAGAAGAAGCCCGGCUAACUUCGU